GCGGGUGUAACUCAGCGGCAGAGUAUUUGCUUCCCAAGCAAAGAGUCGUGGGUUCGAAUCCCAUCACCCGCUCCA
rnacentral:tRNA from 2 species